rnacentral:rRNA from 1 species
GGAAUCUUAGACAAUGGGGGAAACCCUGAUCUAGCCAUGCCGCGUGAGUGAUGAAGGCCUUAGGGUUGUAAAGCUCUUUCGCUGGGGAAGAUAAUGACGGUACCCAGUAAAGAAGCCCCGGCUAACUCCGUGCCAGCAGCCGCGGUAAUACGGAGGGGGCUAGCGUUAUUCGGAAUUACUGGGCGUAAAGCGCACGUAGGCGGACCAGAAAGUUAGGGGUGAAAUCCCGGGGCUCAACCUCGGAACUGCCUCUAAAACUCCUGGUCUUGAGUUCGAGAGAGGUGAGUGGAAUUCCGAGUGUAGAGGUGAAAUUCGUAGAUAUUCGGAGGAACACCAGUGGCGAAGGCGGCUCACUGGCUCGAUACUGACGCUGAGGUGCGAAAGCGUGGGGAGCAAACAG